GUGCCAGCCGCCGCGGUAAUACGGAGGGAGCUAGCGUUGUUCGGAAUUACUGGGCGUAAAGCGCACGUAGGCGGCUUUGUAAGUUAGAGGUGAAAGCCUGGAGCUCAACUCCAGAAUUGCCUUUGAUACUGCAUCGCUUGAAUCCAGGAGAGGUGAGUGGAAUUCCGAGUGUAGAAGUGAAAUUCGUAGAUAUUCGGAAGAACACCAGUGGCGAAGGCGGCUCACUGGACUGGUAUGACGCUGAGGUGCGAAAGCGUGGGGAGCAAACAGGAUUAGA
rnacentral:rRNA from 1 species